GGGUCUAUAGUUUCAAUGGUAAAACAUUCCUCUCCAAAAGGAAGGUUCCCCGUUCGAGUCGGGGUGGACCCGCCA
rnacentral:tRNA from 4 species